rnacentral:lncRNA from 1 species
UGUGCUGGUCGGCCGGUGUGUGCAUUUCAGUUCUUCAGUGCUAAUUUGGUCGUAUAAGCUAGUACUUUGCAGGGUCUGCUCUAGUGAGUCCUUUGUUGCCAGAUAACUAGCCAUGCUUCAAUACCGACCUCUCUUUAUGAAGAAACAUAGUCGUAUAUCAGAUGCAUCUUGGUUUGUCCCGCAAAAAAAAAUGUCCAUCCGUUCUAGUAGAUCUUUCUUCGUGUACUCUAGUUUCUUCAAGUAAAUCAUUUCUGUGCUGGUUGGCCGGUGUGUGCAUCUCAGUUCUUCAGUGCAAAUUAUUGGUUAUCCACGAUAGAUUUAUAGUGCUAAUUUGGCCGUGUAGGCUACUUUGUAGGGUCUGCUCCAGUGAGUCCUUUUUUGCCAGAUAACUAAAACAUACUUCAAUACUCAUCUCUCUUUAUGAAGAAACAUAUAUCAGAUGCAUCUUGAUUUAUCCCGACAAGAAAAAAAAGAUGCAUCUUGAUUUGUUUGCCAACUGAACGGUGCAAAAACUUCAUAUAAAUAGGUCAGUCUUGGAUGAAAGUUACCGCUGUUUGCGGACUUAAAAGAGAUACCAGUGCAGAAGAAAUGAAGAGGGCGCUAUUAAUUAGCUGUUAUCGUCCACUGUUUUUUACUGCUGGUUUGGUGUUUGCGCCUUAAGUACAAAUCGUUGGUGAUUCCCUGUAGAUUUACAUUGGUUGGUAAAAGAUGGUUUUUCCCUUGGGAUUUGCUAAUGUUUUUUGCCUUGAUAACUAGCUUAUUAUUCAUUCAUUGAUGUCUUCUCUAUAUUUAGAAAUAGUAUACGCAUCAUGAUGACAUACUGCCAACUAAUCGUUGCAAAAACUUCACAUGCGUAGGUACAUGGGCAUGAGAUGGGAAUCACAAUUGUUGUGGAGGAAGGGAAGAAUGUCUUGUUAUUUGGCUGUUGCCAUCCAUGUUCUUUUGGGUUUCACAAUGCAAUAAGUGUUCCUCUCCGCAACGAAUAUAUUAGAUCGAGCAUCAUGUCAUGUACACCAUAAGCUUUUGCUGUCUUCAUAGUCGAUGUCUACCAGUUCGAUCAUGCUUCUAUUUAUCAACUCAUUGAAGUAACCCUCUCCUAGCUCAAAUGGGCCAAUUUCUCGUUUACAUGAUACAUAAAAAAUUCAGAUAUCCAUCUCCAUAUGAACUGGUCUCUCUUCAUUUUGUAAUCUUCUGGAUACAUGCUUACUUAUAAUAAAUGAUGUGAAGGUAGAUCAUAGAACAACAACAUAAUCUUUUGACUUCGGCAAGUCAGUGUAGACUAGAGAUAGAACACAACAGGAGCCACACACACCAACUAUAUGGAAAGUAGCAAUGAAAUAGUAAAACAAGCUCCUGACUUGUAGAUUAUGUCAAAGUGAUGGUCUAGAAUCAAGCUUCUUUUACUACUAGUUUUGGUCUACCUUGACAUCUGCUAUAGGAUUAGUUAUUAUAUAUAAGUAUGUUUUCAGAAGAUUAGAAGAUUAAGCAAGGUCAGUUGAUAGUAAAUGGAUAGCUGAAUGUUUUUGUUUAUCAUGAAAAACAAGAGAUUAGCUUAUUUGAGAUCGGAAUAGAGUUACUCAAUGAGACAAUAAAUAGAAACAUGAUUGAACCAACAGACAUCAAUGCUGAUGAAGGCAUGGAAUAAAUCUUAUCGUAUACUCCCUCUGUAAACUAAUAUAAGAGCGUUUAGAACACUACUUUAGUAAUCUAAACGCUCUUAUAUUAGUUUACGGAGGGAGUACAUGAUAUGAUGAUUGAUCCCAUAUGUAUGUUUUUGCCAAGUGAAGAAAACCACUUGUAUGGCAUUGGGUGAAAGCGGUCUAUCCAAAGGCAAGAUUUGAAGAUCAUCCAUCUGAAAGAGCACGACAGACAUAACCACCAUCAGAAGCAGCAACAAUGCCACAAGUGAGCUCUCUUUGCAAUAUUCAUGUGUUAUUGUCUAUUCAGUGUUGCUUAUGCUGAGUGUUCAUGUUCUACAUGUGUUAGAUUUGGAAUAUUGUGCUGCAUGCUUCCAUUCUUUCCAAUUGAUAUUUUGGGACUCAAGAACAGUGUGCAUUAACCAUGGUGUUUUGAUUUGUGUUCUGCAUCAACAUGAAGCUCUCAUUGUAACUAUACCCACUUAUGCCUGAAUACAUUAUCACUUCCGUCAGAUUCAAGAACGACCAAGUUUCUGCGGCACCUCCUGCAUUUUUCUCAGGAUGAACUUCCUUCUCCAUUUCAUUCUUUUGUAAGGAAGAGUUUUGUACUUAUGAUGUAUGCCUGGCAGGUUAAUUUUCCGCCAGCUCAAGUUAAUGUAGCCUGGCAUCCCUUACAUUUUCUCCUUAAGAACCAUCAGUUAUUCUGUACUGAUGUCUUGUAUGCUUCCUCUCCUGCAUUCAUCAUUACACUCCUUUGUUUGUUACAGCUUUAUUUGAGACUCACAAACCAAAAAACCACGUUCAGCUUGUACUAUGUUCUGAAGUUUCAUCUUCUAUUUGUCGUGCUGGUUUGAUCGAAUAUACGAGGAAGUCAGCUGUGUCAUUUUAAUGUGCCGGCUUAGGACCUGUAUUGAGUAAAUCUUUAUUUGAGUAUAACUGGAACUUGACUCGCCAUUUCAUCUCAGGCGCACCUUCGCUGUCGUUUACUCUGUAGUAGAAGUAUUUUGAUAGGCUGCUUUGGCCGAGCUGUAGAUGGCGAUGAUGCAAACAGUGCCAUUCUCCUUUCUUUCUUUUCUGCGGGGGAUGCAAACCGUGUCAUUCACAGUCAUUGGGCUUGCCCCCACAGUACAGCUGGUCGUGAAAUACAGCCACCAGGUUCCAGCCUCUUCCACUGACAAGACCUCAAUCUGCGGGGGAUGUCUCUAUGACUGACUGGAGUAGCGAUGCCAUGCUUGACAACGGUACAAUACGAGGUUACGAGCAAGCGUACAAGUGAUGAAUUGGACGCAUAAUCCAUCAGAGAUUUCAGGAACGAGUUAAAUGGGUACGCAUGGUGGGAGUGCCAAAAUACGGAGGUGGUGUCUUCUGUCUAAUUGCAAACUGCCAAGCUUAUAUAACUAAACUAAUGCAUCUGCUCAGAGGCAUCUCUAGGCAGUGCAAACCAAGCACAUUAUAACUAAACCAGAGUGCACAUGCUCAGAGGCAUAGAUGGCAUCGCAGGCACAUACUACGAUUUCACAAGUGCCAAAGAGAGUUUAAUUAAGUAUUGCAUUUGCAUGGGUGGAGUAAUUAACUAGAGUUGCUCACACCUAUUCCCUCAAAAAAAAAAAGAGUUGCUCACACCUACACAUGGUCUCAGGAGCAAGAGAGCAAUCUGUCCUGACACUUUUCUUAGGCACGACAGCACGCGAGUAAAGUGCGCGCAUGGAGACCAGUGACGCGGUUUAAUUUAACCUGAUCACUGCAGUCGAAGCGGCAUCCAAGGGCCAUUUUUCGCCCAUCUCAAGAUCGCAUCGAGCUUGAGCCUCGUCUAAUACUCCUUCGCUUCACUGUUACUAGGACGGAGGGGUUCGUUCAUGAAGAACACUAGAUGAGUAAAAAGAAAAGAAAAAUGUAUGUUGGAUUUGUUUGGCUACUUCUAGAUGCUUUCGCUCUAGUGUAAUAUAUAUUUUUUCUAUCUAAUAUCAAAUGAUGUUAAGGGGAAGCAAAAGCUUUAUGAAGUUAAUAUGCAGUCUUCUAGCCUACCCCGUAGGUUGAUGUGGUUGGCUGGACUAAGCCGCCCAAGAAUCACAUAAAGAUCAAUGUGGACGCUUCUUUUAUUGCAGGCACGGGAUCGGCUGGGCUGGGAGCGGUUGGCAGGGAUUGUUUUGGUGAUAUUGUCUUCUCAGCGGCUUCCUAUUUUCAUGGAUGCUCGGAUGCAGAGGAAGCUGAAGUCUAGGUCCUAUCUUUUGGCCUCAACCAGGAUCGUAAACUGAAUUUGAACAAUGCAGAUGGAGACCGAUUGCAUCGCAAUAGUGGCCGUUGUGAAUGAUUGUAAUGUUAGCAGGGGCAGCUCGUGGGCUUGCUGUGAUAACUCUAAGGAUAUUAAGGAGGGUGGAGUUUGUUCUGUUUCCAAAGUCCAUAGGGGGAGCAAUGUGGUCGCGCAUGAGCUUGCUGCCCAUGCUAGAGUGAAUGGGGAUUUCUUUGUGUUAGUUGAUGUGCCACAAGCUUAGAAACAUGUAAUUGCUUCCGUUUGUAACCCAGGUAUAUUGAUAUAAAUGAAGCUCUCCCUUUCCUCAAAAAAUAUAUUUCUUUUCUAUCCUACCUACUGUUUUCUAGAGCCCUCUAGUUGUGAGUAGCUAUGAGUAGAAUGGUGAAUCUUAAUUAAUGUUUUCUAGAGUGUUCCAGCUAUAAGUAGGAGUAUGUGUAGGCUUCCAAGAGCCCUAUAAAUAGAGGCCCUCACCUCUACUUUAUAUCCAGACUAUGUACCCCCACUAUCUGUAAUAGAACUUGGUGUUUUUAUCUAAGAUCUUGGAGUAGAUAUUGUGCUAUAGGAGUUUUGGAUUGAACUCCUCCUGCCAUAUCGGCCUACAUUUGCCUCUAGAGCGAUAUCUACCACAAGACGUUGAAGUAGUCCCUUCAACUCUAGUGUUGUACACUUUGUACCAACAAGGCGGAGUCGCUCCUCCACAACCUUGUGCUGCUUUCAGGUGGUAUCAAAGCCUCGUUGAUCCAUACAAGUUCUUGUUGUUCUCUUUGAGAGCAAGCUGCAGCAAGCAAUGAAGCAAUUGGAGAAGAGAUAGAUGCUGCAGAAGAACAAAUCAAAGAGUUGCAUG